UAAAGAAAGCGUAAUAGCUCACUGGUCGAGUCGGCCUGCGCGGAAGAUGUAACGGGGCUAAACCAUGCACCGAAGCUGCGGCAGCGACACUGUGUGUUGUUGGGUAGGGGAGCGUUCUGUAAGCCUGUGAAGGUGGCCUGUGAGGGUUGCUGGAGGUAUCAGAAGUGCGAAUGCUGACAUAAGUAACGAUAAAGCGGGUGAAAAGCCGGCUCGCCGGAAGACCAA
rnacentral:rRNA from 1 species